UCGGCCUCCCAGAGUGCUAGGAUUACAGGCGUGAGCCACCAUGCCCAGCCAGUGUCUUUAUUUAAUAUGAUAUGUGACUUUGAACUUUUCUAGUUUUAUUGUGUCCUUUGAAAUAGCAUCAUUAAGCAAACCUUUUCAAACAUCAUUAUGUUCUUUGGGGGUCACGGAGUUAAAUGAAAAUAAUUAUUUGCUGCACUAGUGCAAGAAAAGGAAAGAAUUAGUGGUUUUCUGUAUAAUACCCAAUCACACUUACUGACUGAAAUGCUUUCAGAAAUGAAUUGUGAUCAUGAAAAUAUAGCAGAGUGCUUUAACCUCCAGAAACAUUUACUUUCAUCUUAAAAAUUAUUAUACGUAUGAUAGCUACAUCAAGCAUGAAAAACUGCUGGUCCUUUGAGAAAAUGAAUAUAAUGGGUAACUUUAUGCAAAGUAUUAGGGAAAAAAAGAAAAAAGGCACCAAUAAACUACAUUAGAAACAAAAUGGGAUCCUUGGUGUGAUUCCAUCCUGCCCAGUUGUUCUUUGGAGCAGUAGUCAUGUAUCUCUGUCCACCUUCUCUCGUACCUAAGUGCAUGCCACCAUCCCAUGGAAGAUUCAGUGGACAUGGACACGAGCCCCCUGAGGCCCCAGAACUAUCUUUUCGGUUGUAAACUAAAGGCCGACAAAGAUUAUCACUUUAAGGUGCAUAAUGAUGAAAAUGAGCACCAAUUAUCUUUAAGAACGGUCAGUUUAGGGGCUGGUGCAAAGGAUGAAUUGCACAUUGUUGAAGCAGAGGCAAUGAAUUAUGAAGGCAGUCCAAUUAAAGGAACACUGGCAACUUUGAAAAUGUCUGUACAGCCAAUGUUUCCCUUGGGGGCUUUGAAAUAACACCACCGGUGGUCUUAUGGUUGAAGUGUGGUUCAGGGCCUGUGCAUAUUAGUGGGCAGCACUUAGUAGCUGUGGAAGAAGAUGCAGAGUCAGAAGAUGACUAUGAGGAGGAUGUGAAAAUCUUAAGUAUAUCUGGAAAGCUCCUGGAGGUGGUAGCAAGGUUCCAUAGAAAAAAGUAAAACUUGCUGAUGAAGAUGAUAAUGAUGAUGAGUUCGAUGAUGAGGAUACUGAAGAAAAAGCUCCAGUGAAGAAAUCUGUAUGAGACACUCCAGCCAAAAAUGCACAGAAAUCAAACCAGAAUGGAAAAGACUCAAAACUAUCAACACCAAGAUCAAAGGGUCAAGAAUCCUUCAAAAAACACGAAGAAACUCCUAAAACACCAAAUGAGCCUAGUUCUGUAGAAGACAUUAAGGCAAAAUGCAAGCAAGUAUAGAAAAGGGUGGUUCUCUUCCCAAAGUGGAAGCGAAAUUCAUCAAUUAUGUGAAGAACUGCUUUCGGAUGACUGACCAGGAGGCUAUGCACGAUCUCUGGCAGUGGAGGAAGUCUCUUUAAGAAAACAGUUUAAACAAUUUGUUAAAAUUUUCCGUCUUAUUUCAUUUCUGUAACAGUUGAUAUCUGGCUGUCCUUUUUAUAAUGCAGAGUGAGAACUUUCCCUACCAUGUUUGAUAAAUGUUGUCCAGGUUCCAUUGCCAAGAAUGUGUUGUCCAAAAUGCCUGUUUAUUUUUUAAAGAUGGAACUCCACCCUUUGCUUGGUUUUAAGUAUGUAUGGAAUGUUAUGAUAGGACAUAGCAGUAGCAGUGGUCAGACAUGGAAAUGGUGGGGAGACAAAAAUAUACAUGUGAAAUAAACCCAGUAUUUUAAUAAAGUAAAAAAAAAAA